ACGUUAUCAAGAAAGGCGGAGGGAUUAGACCCAAUGAAGCCUUAGCAACCCUUUUUUCCACGCCGAUAGCGCUCGGAAGGAAUGAAGAAGGUGCUACUUUCUAAUCCUGUCAGGAUGCCCAAAAAGGGUCUUCGUGGCACAGGAAUAGAUAACAA
rnacentral:ncRNA from 2 species